rnacentral:misc_RNA from 1 species
UUUCCGUAGGUGAACCUGCGGAAGGAUCAUUAUAGAGUUCAUGCCCUACCGGGUAGAUCUCCCACCCUAUGUUAUUAUUACUUUGUUGCUUUGGCGGGCCGUUAGGCUCCGGCCCGACUACCGGCCCCGGCUGGUAAGCGCCCGCCAGAGGACCCAAAACCCUGAAUAUUAGUGUCGUCUGAGUACUAUAUAAUAGUUAAAACUUUCAACAACGGAUCUCUUGGUUCUG